UACGUAGGGUGCAAGCGUUGUCCGGAAUUAUUUGGGCGUAAAGAGCUCGUAGGCGGUCUGUCGCGUCGGCUGUGAAAUCCCGAGGCUCAACCUCGGGUCUGCAGUCGAUACGGGCAAACUAGAGUAUUGCAGGGGAGACUGGAAUUCCUGGUGUAGCGGUGAAAUGCGCAGAUAUCAGGAGGAACACCGGUGGCGAAGGCGGGUCUCUGGGCAAUAACUGACGCUGAGGAGCGAAAGCGUGGGGAGCGAACAGG
rnacentral:rRNA from 1 species